rnacentral:rRNA from 1 species
GACGAACGCUGGCGGCGUGCUUAACACAUGCAAGUCGAACGAAGUGGCGAACGGGUGAGUAAUACGUGAGUAACCUGCCCUCUUUUUUGGGAUAAGCCUUGGAAACGGGGUCUAAUACCGAAUAAAGGGGGAUGGGGUCGCGGCCUAUCAGCUUGUUGGUGGGGUGAUGGCCUACCAAGGCGGUGACGGGUAGCCGGCCUGGGAGGGUGACCGGCCACAGUGGAACAGGGAUAAGGCCCAAACGCCGACGGGGGGCAGCAGUGGGGGAUAGUGCACAAUGGGCGAAAGCCGGAUGCAGCGGCGCCGCGUGGGGGAUGAAGGCUUUCGGGUUGUAAACCUCUUUCGCGAUCGAACGGGUAGCUGGAGAAGAAGCGCCGGCUAACUACGUGCCAGCAGCCGCGGUAAUUC